rnacentral:rRNA from 1 species
GACGUAGGGGGCCAGCGUUGCUCGGAAUUACUGGGCGUAAAGGGUUCGUAGGCGGUGCGGUAAGUCGGAAGUGAAAUCUCUGGGCUUAACCCAGAGGCUGCUUUCGAAACUGCCGUGCUAGAGUGCGGGAGAGGCGAGUGGAAUUACAGGUGUAGCGGUGAAAUGCGUAGAUAUCUGUAGGAACACCCGUGGCGAAGGCGGCUCGCUGGACCGCAACUGACGCUGAGGAACGAAAGCUAGGGGAGCAAACAG